rnacentral:rRNA from 1 species
CAGCCGCCGCGGGAAUACGAAGGGGGCUAGCGUUGUUCGGAUUUACUGGGCGUAAAGGGUGCGUAGGCGGAUUGUUAAGUCAGGGGUGAAAUCCCGAGGCUCGACCUCGGAACUGCCUUUGAUACUGGCGAUCUUGAGUCCGGGAGAGGUGAGUGGAACUGCGAGUGUAGAGGUGAAAUUCGUAGAUAUUCGCAAGAACACCGGUAGCGAAGGCGGCUCACUGGCCCGGUACUGACGCUGAGGCACGAAAGCGUGGGAGCAAACAGGAUUAGAUACCCCUGUAGUCCCUGUCUCUUAUACA